UCCUACGGGAGGCAGCAGUGGGGAAUAUUGCACAAUGGGGGCAACCCUGAUGCAGCAAUACCGCGUGUGUGAAGAAGGCCCGAGGGUUGUAAAGCACUUUCAAUAGUGAAGAAAAGCUCAUGGUUAAUACCCAUGGGUCUUGACGUUAACUAUACAAGAAGCACCGGCUAACUCCGUGCCAGCAGCCGCGGUAAUACGGAGGGUGCAAGCGUUAAUCGGAAUUACUGGGCGUAAAGCGUGCGUAGGCGGUUUACUAAGUCAGAUGUGAAAGCCCCGGGCUUAACCUGGGAACUGCAUUUGAUACUGGUAGGCUAGAGUGUGAUAGAGGGGGGUAGAAUUCCUGGUGUAGCGGUGAAAUGCGUAAAUAUCAGGAGGAAUACCAGUGGCUAAGGCGGCCCCCUGGAUCAAUACUGACGCUGAGGUACAAAAGCGUGGGUAGCGAACAGGAUUAGAUACCCUGGUAGUCCACGCCAUA
rnacentral:rRNA from 1 species